CAAUAGCGUAUAUUAAAGUUGUUGCGGUUAAAAAGCUCGUAGUUGGAUUUCUGACGGCCUUAGCUCAGCUCGACUCCCUGAGUCGUUGUCUGUCUGAGGUAGUCAACAUUUGGCGUGGACCAGUGUCGGGCUUUUAUUAGCACGUGCUGGCGAUCGUCUCGUUUACUUUGAGAAAAUUAGAGUGUUCAAAGCAGGCUUCGCCUUGAAUAUGUUAGCAUGGAAUAAUGACAUAGGACUUUGGUUCUAUUUGUUGGUUGUUCGAGAACUAGAGUAAUGAUUGAUAGGGACGGUUGGGGGCGAUACGUAUUCCGGGCGGAGAGGUGAAUUACUUGGACCCCGGAACGACGAACCGCUGCGAAAGACGUUUGUCCUAGGACGUUCUCUUUAAUUCAAGAACGAAAGUUAGGGGGAGUCGAAGAUGAUCAGAUACCAU
rnacentral:rRNA from 1 species